AGAGUUUGAUCCUGGCUCAGGACGAACGCUGGCGGCGUGCCUAAUACAUGCAAGUCGAACGCUUCUUUUUCCACCGGAGCUUGCUCCACCGGAAAAAGAGGAGUGGCGAACGGGUGAGUAACACGUGGGUAACCUGCCCAUCAGAAGGGGAUAACACUUGGAAACAGGUGCUAAUACCGUAUAACAAUCGAAACCGCAUGGUUUUGAUUUGAAAGGCGCUUUCGGGUGUCGCUGAUGGAUGGACCCGCGGUGCAUUAGCUAGUUGGUGAGGUAACGGCUCACCAAGGCGACGAUGCAUAGCCGACCUGAGAGGGUGAUCGGCCACAUUGGGACUGAGACACGGCCCAAACUCCUACGGGAGGCAGCAGUAGGGAAUCUUCGGCAAUGGACGAAAGUCUGACCGAGCAACGCCGCGUGAGUGAAGAAGGUUUUCGGAUCGUAAAACUCUGUUGUUAGAGAAGAACAAGGAUGAGAGUAACUGUUCAUCCCUUGACGGUAUCUAACCAGAAAGCCACGGCUAACUACGUGCCAGCAGCCGCGGUAAUACGUAGGUGGCAAGCGUUGUCCGGAUUUAUUGGGCGUAAAGCGAGCGCAGGCGGUUUCUUAAGUCUGAUGUGAAAGCCCCCGGCUCAACCGGGGAGGGUCAUUGGAAACUGGGAGACUUGAGUGCAGAAGAGGAGAGUGGAAUUCCAUGUGUAGCGGUGAAAUGCGUAGAUAUAUGGAGGAACACCAGUGGCGAAGGCGGCUCUCUGGUCUGUAACUGACGCUGAGGCUCGAAAGCGUGGGGAGCAAACAGGAUUAGAUACCCUGGUAGUCCACGCCGUAAACGAUGAGUGCUAAGUGUUGGAGGGUUUCCGCCCUUCAGUGCUGCAGCUAACGCAUUAAGCACUCCGCCUGGGGAGUACGACCGCAAGGUUGAAACUCAAAGGAAUUGACGGGGGCCCGCACAAGCGGUGGAGCAUGUGGUUUAAUUCGAAGCAACGCGAAGAACCUUACCAGGUCUUGACAUCCUUUGACCACUCUAGAGAUAGAGCUUCCCCUUCGGGGGCAAAGUGACAGGUGGUGCAUGGUUGUCGUCAGCUCGUGUCGUGAGAUGUUGGGUUAAGUCCCGCAACGAGCGCAACCCUUAUUGUUAGUUGCCAUCAUUUAGUUGGGCACUCUAGCAAGACUGCCGGUGACAAACCGGAGGAAGGUGGGGAUGACGUCAAAUCAUCAUGCCCCUUAUGACCUGGGCUACACACGUGCUACAAUGGGAAGUACAACGAGUCGCAAAGUCGCGAGGCUAAGCUAAUCUCUUAAAGCUUCUCUCAGUUCGGAUUGUAGGCUGCAACUCGCCUACAUGAAGCCGGAAUCGCUAGUAAUCGCGGAUCAGCACGCCGCGGUGAAUACGUUCCCGGGCCUUGCACACACCGCCCGUCAA
rnacentral:rRNA from 1 species